GUUUGAAUCUUGAAUAUUAAUGAAUGGUUUCCAAGUUAAAUAAACAUAUUUUGAUAAUUUUCUACUGUAACCCUAAGGGUUGCUAGGAUAUAGCAAUUACAAUUAUUCAUAUUAUCAUCUUUAUAGUCUUUUGAUUAAAUAAAAACUCAGCUCAGGAAAACUAAUUGACAGCAAGUUCCCUAUAGUAGAGUCUUUACAUUUUUAAUCUAAAAUGCUAGAGGGUUGUAAGAGGUCCUGAUUUUUUUUAUCCUAGAUACGGAAUAUAAAGACAAUAAUUCAUGUUGUG